AGUCCAUUCCUUUUCUCCUUUCAUCUCUUUUCUCAUCCUCUUUCUCUCUAAGUAAGGAAGGUUGAGGAGUUUGGUGCUGGCUGAUUGGAGUUGCUGCUGGCUGAUGAAGAGAACUGAACUAAGCAAGAAAUCUGAGUUGAUUGGAGCUGCGAAAUUACCUGGAAUAGCUUCUAAUCAAGCCUAGAGGUUGUAGGCUGAAGUAAAGAAAGCUGGGAGAACUGAGGGCUGAGCAAAUUCUGAGAAUUUGAGUGGAAGAAAUUCUUGAUGCUUGACCUAGGAUUAACCUGGUGGAAUACCUAGGUUAAGGUUCGAGCUGAGGGAAACUAUCUAGUAAGGAGUUCUUGCUAUAGCUGCUAUGACAAUGUUGAAUUGGACCACUAAGCACUGAGCAAUUUGAUUUAACUCUGGAUUAAGCCUGGGUGUUUUCAGACUCGGAAAAGUGGUCGACCACCAACCGGGUACCAUUGGUGCUGAAGUAAACCAUUGAAAUGGAAUUUUUAGCAGAGAGGACUUGAGUGAAGUUGCUGAAUUGGAAUUACAGCUGAAGAAAAUUUGGGAGAAGCUUAAAUCUGGAAUUGCAAGAAGUUGAUGUUGUUGGUGCUGCUGUGCUGCCGAAAUGCACGGGUGACCCAUUUCAUGCAGUGAGCAAGCUAAAUUAGCAUUAAGUUAAAAUCUGGAGCUGAAAUUGCAAUUAUGGUGGAAUUUCUUUGAUGUAUUCAGUGGAGAGUAGAUUUCGAAAGCUGAGAUCACCCUGGUAGAAUACCUAAUUAAGUUAAGGAACUUGCCACCAGAAACUGCUACUUGUAGAACCUUCGGUGUCCUGGACUGAAAAGAGAAAUUAGAGGAGUUUGAGCUCAAUUGCAAGGAAGUCGACGACGCGCCAAUUACGGUAGAGGCCGUUCUAGUUCUAUUUGCGCUGGGUCGCGAGAGAUAGUUGUCGACGCAUCUCGAGACAUGGAUCUUAGUUGUUGACACCACUACAGGUUCCAGUUCGAGCGUUGUGGCCGAGGAUCGGGGCAAGAGCCAGCAGCCUAGCUAGUUGACACCCGAGUACUAGUGGUAUACCAUUUUGGGUUCAUGUGUCAUCUAUUUGGUUGUACAGAGACAUGUAAAUGAAUGUAUUAAGAACAUGUAAACAGUUAAAAGCUUCAGUUAUGUAAUUUAAGUUAAAGUUUUAAAUUACAGUGAAUUUCAUGUU